rnacentral:tRNA from 1 species
GGGGAUUUAGCUCAGUGGCAUAAGCACCUGCCUUGCAAGCAGGCGGUUGGUUGUGAGUUCGAUCCCCA